UUUAUGGAGAGUUUGAUCCUGGCUCAGGAUGAACGCUGGCGGCGUGCCUAAUACAUGCAAGUCGAGCGAACUGACGAGGAGCUUGCUCCUUUGACGUUAGCGGCGGACGGGUGAGUAACACGUGGGUAACCUACCUAUAAGACUGGAAUAACUCCGGGAAACCGGGGCUAAUGCCGGAUAACAU
rnacentral:rRNA from 1 species